rnacentral:lncRNA from 1 species
CCAUUACUCACUCCAUAAUUUUUUUUUUUUUUUUUGUGAGAGAUAGAUAGCACGCUACCCACUUUAUUUAUUUUAUUUAGAACUAAACUUAGCUGAAAAUAUGAAUCAACUAAGAUUCGAACUUGGGUCUCUGGUACCAACCACCAAGCCCUUGGCCACUUGCUCUAGAAACGAUGAGAGGUCAUUUGAGUGUCUAUAAAUAUGUAAUAAUUUUAUAAUAAAACAAGUCAAGUUAAGUUGAGUAGAGUUUCUACUUUUAUUUGAGAAGAAUGAUUUUUUCUUACUCUUAUCUCUUAUCUCUUAAGUGGAUUUUCUGUGAAAGAAGAAUGUUGUUCAACUAUUGCAUUGGUAGAUUCCAUAUACUGGUGAAUAUGCUGGAGUUCGAUGUGAUGGAUUCUACGGUGAGUCGAGUGUUUAUUGAGUUGUGCUUGUUCUAU